AUGGCGGAGACGGAGUACCGCUGCUUCGUGGGCGGCCUCGCCUGGGCCACCGACGACAACAACCUCCAGCAGGCCUUCAGCCAGUACGGCGAGAUCCUCGACGCCAAGAUCAUCAACGACCGCGAGACGGGGAGGUCCCGUGGGUUCGGCUUCGUCACGUUCGGCAGCGAGGAGUCGAUGCGCCAGGCCAUCGAGGAGAUGAACGGCAAGGAGCUCGACGGGCGCAACAUCACCGUCAACGAGGCCCAGUCCCGCCGCUCCGGCGGUGGGGGCGGCGGCGGCGGCUACGGCGGCCAGCGCGGCGGUGGCGGAGGCUACGGCGGCGGCGGUGGCGGCUACGGCGGCCAGGGCGGCGGCGGCUACGGCCAGGGCGGCGGUGGCGGCUACGGCCAGGGCGGCGGUGGCUACGGCGGCCAGCGUGGUGGCGGCGGCUACGGCGGUGGCUACGGCGGCGGCGGUGGCGGCUACGGCGGCCAGCGCGGCGGCGACUCCGGCGGCCAGUGGAGGAACUGA
rnacentral:rRNA from 1 species